UACAGAGGGUGCAAGCGUUAAUCGGAAUUACUGGGCGUAAAGCGUGCGUAGACGGUUAUUUAAGUCAGGUGUGAAAGCCCAGGGCUCAACCUUGGAAUUGCAUUUGAGACUGAAUAGCUAGGGUGCGGAAGAGGGAAGCGGAAUUUCCGGUGUAGCGGUGAAAUGCGUAGAGUAUCGGAAGGAACACCAGUGGCGAAAGCGGCUUCCUGGUCCAGCACCGACGUCAGGCACGAAAGCGUGGGGAGCAAACAGG
rnacentral:rRNA from 1 species